AUGGUUCAGUCAUUGCACUGGAUGCUUCCUCGUAGAGUGAAGGAGAUAGUUGAUGCAUCUUAUCUGUGCCGGUUAGCCCUUAUAGAGACCCGAAAGUUCAAUCUGGCACUGGUGGGGGCCCUGAUGGAGUGGUGGUGGUCGAGUACUCAUUCUUUUCAUCUCCCUAUUGGAAAGAUCACCAUCAUGCCCCUAUGCUUCUAUGCCUUAACAUGCGUUCCAUUUGGGGGUAGACCCAUGACCCUACUUGGGAUUUUGACUAUCAGGGAGUUUGCAGACUUGACAGGGCUUACCAUUGCAGCUGACCAGACACACAUCUGUCUAGGGGAGAUUAGUGCCCGAUGGCGGAAAACCAGCCGAUGGGAGAACCCAGGUAACAUGGCACAAGUGGCCUGUUCUUUCUUGCUAUUUGUUGUGGGUCAGUGCCUUUUUAGUGAUCUCCAAGGGGGAGUAGACAUUCGCCUAGUGUUCUUCCUCUGAGAUCUUUAUGCAGUAGAUUUUUGGGACUGGGGUGGGGCCACCUACUCUUGUGGACCCUAGACUUGCUAUCAUAUGGAGACUGAGGUCUUAAGGGAGCAGGCUUCAUCCUCUAGGUAACUUUCCUUCUUGUACCCAUUUCCUUUCAUUCAUUUGGACUACACUUUCUUACUUUAAUCUCCUAAAAUAGCCUUGGUGCUUUGAGCACUUGGGAACUGUAGCUCCUAGACUAAGGGAUCCUCAAGCAUUCUUCUUCCCUAUAGCCACGAGGUGGGGCGACAAUCAGCUGAUCAGGGCUUCGUGCCAUCCUCUGGGGACCACCACUCACUGAGGGAUCUCACUGAGGUCACUUGGAGACCAUUCCAGUGCAUCCUAUUUCCAGACUUUGAAGGAGUCGUGUUGGCUAGGCACUUAUCCAAGAACCGAGUCCUUUUCAAGGCAAAUGGGGCCACGUCUGGUAUCUGGGAGAGAGAGUAGUACCCCAGUGGUCAGAUGUUGAGUCACGCCCCUCUCUCGGUCUUCCUCCACCCACUAUGCACUACCCAGAGAUCAUCCCAACAAAUGAGAUUGAGCAUUUGUCUGACGGAGUAUGGGAUGACUCAUUUCUUGACCAGGAUAGGGAUUACAGAACCUUCCUGGAGGAGGAGAUAGUAUGCACCCCUCUUGGUCCUGAUGGUUCAAUGGGGAGAAUGCGACGUGUAGAUCCUUUUAUUGUUCGAUCGCAUGUCAGUGCCGUUGAUCCUUCACAAGCGGGACCCUCUACCAGUGUAGGUGGGUCUCUCAGAGUUGCUAGCAUCUCCUUCUAUGGCUUCUCUACUUGGAACUAUCCCAACGCGGCCAACCCCAGUUUCCCUCGUCUUCUGGAGCAAAACACAGAUGUAGAUACUUCCCUUGGGCUGCCUAUUCCUUAUGACUAUGUGAGUAUCUGAUCAUCCUUCAAUUGACUCUUGACUUUCUUUGGCUGAUAUGCUCUUUCUUAGAUGUCUCCGA